CGAUAAACAAAACUCUAUAAUUGAAAACCCUAGUAAGUAGUGAGUACUGAAGAGAGAGAGGGAGAGCGAUGGCGGAUGUAGCAGUGGAGUUCCUGCUGAAUAACCUCAAGGAGCUACUGCUUUACACUUGAAGCUAAUUACCGAGAUGAGGAGCCAGAUCGAGAACCUGGAGAAGGAAUCUCCGCAUCUUCAAAGCCUUCUCAAGGACUCCGUGAAGAAGCAGAGAGAGGAUGAGCACACGAAGGCACUGGUGCAGAACAUUCGCGACGUCGUUUAUGAGGUGGAAGAUGUGGUCGAUCUCUUCCUAACCAAGGCUAACCUCAGAAUCGAUAACGAAGACAUAUCUGAUAAACCUCAGGCUUGGCCGUUAAGAGAGAGACGUGGUAGGCUUCGAAGGACUAUAAUAAAGCAACCGAUUCAAGAAACCUUUUAUCUUGAUGUCGUUUUGCUCACUGGUAUGUUUGGGCUGGGUAAGAUGCGGUGGCGAGGAAGAUUUACAAAGCCAUUCAAAAAAACUUCACUACUAUAACCAAGGACGUAUGAGAAAAAGAUGAGUUGGAGUUAGGUCGAGAUGUUGCUGCUUGUCUCGAGGAAGUAUGUUUUUUUUUUUUGGUGAUGGAUGAUGCCUACAAUCAAGCUGAUUGGGACAUACUCAGUGAGUGUGCUUUGCCGCUGAACGAUAAAAAAGAUAAAAUCUUGAUCACCAGUCGUAGUGAGAAUGUUAAAGAGGAUGUUAGCACGUAUCUUAGUUGCCCAAGAGCUUCCCACAAGUUGUUGCUCUGGUUGGAUGCACUCUAUAAUUUGGACUGUUUUGUCUUAACUUGGUGGGUGUUGGGUAGGUAAUUGCAAAAAAAUGUGAUGAAUUUUUUCUUUCAGUGGUCAAAUAUGAGUUUUAAUGAAGAAACAAAGAAAGAGUGGGAUGAGCUGUCUACACAGUUGAACAUAUUUUGCAAAGAAGACCAUGCGGAUCGUGUGAACAAGUUUAUAUCAUUGAGUUAUGAUAGCAUGUGGAGUGAGCAAAUUUAUAUCAUUGAGUUAUGAUAGCAUAUGGAUUGGAGAAGGAUUUAUACAAAAAAAUAAUGAUUUUAGCUUGCAGUGGACUGUAGAGAAAUUCUUGAAAGAUCGUAUGAACAAAAACUUAGUCACAAUUGGCGAGAUCAAACCAUAUAGUAAGGUAAAACUAUGCCUGGUUUCAUGAUGCAUUGCAUGAAAUUCGGACAGAAGUUAAAUAUGAAAACUUCAUGAAUUUUGCUUUCGUCCUGCAGAAUUCAUGCAAUGUAUUAUGAUUUCGGCAUGUUUUCACCUUACUAUAUGGUUUGAUCUUGUUAAUUGUAACCAAGUUUUUGUUUAUAAGACUUCUCUGCAGUUUCCUCCAAGCUAUAAUCAUUACCUUUUUAAUUUUUUUUGUAUGAAUUCUUCUCCAAUCCACAUGCUAAUCAAUCUCGACACUCGAAUUCAUAGUCCUCGGGAAACACCCCAGAUAGAGAAAGCAUGCAUGCAAGUUUUAAGGCUGAAUACCAUGUGGCAAAGAUACCGCUUAUGAUUAUUACUUCUAAAAGUGGCAGUCCAUUACAAUUUUUUUGUAAUUGUCUACCCAACACUUACAGGGUCUUCUUUAAAAAAUGUGCUGACUUGUGUGGACACUUCGUCCCACUCUUCCUUUGUUAAACUCAUAUCUGAGGCUGAAUACCAUGUGGCAAAGAUACCUCUUAUGAUUAUUACUUCUAAAAGUGGCAGUCCAUUACAAUUUUUUGCAAUUAUCUACCCAACACUUACGGAGUGCCUCCAACCGUAGCAACAACUUUUCGGUAGCUCUCGGGCAACUAACAUACGCGCCAAUAUCCUCAUUACGACUGGUAAUCAAGAUUUUACCUUUUUCAUUGUUCAGUGGCAGAGCAACACAGAGUCUGUCCCAAUCAUCUUGAUUCCGGAAAGACAUCCUUGUUUGAGAACUCUUGAGAAA